CACAUGCAAGUCGAACGAUGAAACCUAGCUUGCUAGGUGGAUUAGUGGCGCACGGGUGAGUAAUAUAUAGAUAACGUGCCUCUUAGUCUGGGAUAGCCAUUGGAAACGAUGAUUAAUACUGGAUACUCCUUCUCUUUAUAAUAAGAGUUGGGAAAGUUUUUCGCUAAGAGAUCGGUCUAUAUCCCAUCAGGUAGUUGGUAGUGUAAGAGACUACCAAGCCUAUGACGGGUAGCGGGUUUGAGAGGAUGAUCCGCCACACUGGUACUGAGACACGGACCAGACUCCUACGGGAGGCAGCAGUGAGGAAUAUUGCACAAUGGAGGAAACUCUGAUGCAGCAACGCCGCGUGGAGGAUGACGCAUUUCGGUGUGUAAACUCCUUUUAUAUGUCAAGAAAAUGACGGUAGCAUAUGAAUAAGCACCGGCUAACUCCGUGCCAGCAGCCGCGGUAAUACGGAGGGUGCAAGCGUUAUUCGGAAUCACUGGGCGUAAAGGACACGUAGGCGGGAAGCCAAGUCUGAUGUGAAAUCCUACAGCUUAACUGUAGAACUGCAUUGGAAACUGGUUACCUAGAGUAUGGGAGGGGGAGAUGGAAUUAGUGGUGUAGGGGUAAAAUCCGUAGAUAUCACUAGGAAUACCUAAAGCGAAGGCGAUCUCCUGGAACAUUACUGACGCUAAGGUGUGAAAGCGUGGGGAGCAAACGGGAUUAGAUACCCCGGUAGUCCACGCCCUAAACGAUGUUCACUAGUCGUCGGGAUGCUAGUCAUCUCGGUGAUGCACUUAACAGAUUAAGUGAACCGCCU
rnacentral:rRNA from 1 species